rnacentral:rRNA from 1 species
UACGAGGGGGGCGAGCGUUGUUCGGAAUUAUUGGGCGUAAAGGGUGCGUAGGCGGUUUGGUAAGUCUUAUGUGAAAUCUAUGGGCUCAACUCAUAGACUGCAUGAGAAACUGCCGGGCUUGAGUAUGGGAGAGGUGAGUGGAAUUCCUGGUGUAGCGGUGAAAUGCGUAGAUAUCAGGAGGAACACCUGUGGCGAAGGCGGUUCUCUGGGACGGUACUGACGCUGAGACGCGAAAGCGUGGGGAGCGAACAGG